UUGACACAAUGAUGAUUCCAUAGUUCAGCAGAUUUAAACUGAAGAAUACUAGCUUGUCUUUCGCUCCUAUCUGAAGUGUCAA
ensembl:snoRNA